UAGUCUCUAAAUAAAAGAGCACUACCGCCAGAUCUUGAGAGUCCAAGAAAUCUUUCUUUUGACUCCUCGGCUCACCGACCCCGCAUCAUUUCUGGUGGCCCGUACGGGGAACUUGCUUCAUAGGCUUGUGAGCUCAAGUUCUGGACACAUUGGUUAUAUUACCAAGGCUUUGACUGGAAUGUCAUAUUUGAGAGAGACGUACAGGCUCAGACAUAACAAGAUAGCUGUUCAGGAACAAAGAUUGGACUUUCUGGAAAUAAAGCCACUUGGAAAUAUGGGUCUGGUACCUUGUUUACAGAGAUUCUGGCAAUCUUACCCGGGAAAUACUGCUUUUGGAAUGAUCUGGAAAAAAAUUCUGUUCCAUGGAUUUCAUCACGUGAUUUUAUCACUUUUACUUCACUUCUCAUUAACUUUUUAUCAGAAUUUUCUUAGUUCUUUAAUAAAACCACUUAUAGAUAAGAAAAAAGGGCACCUUUCUUUUACAUCCAAAUUAAGAGUUUGUAAUUUCUCAAUUGUUUUAUUGAAGCAUCCCAAAAUGUGUUUCUAAUUUCAGUUAAAAUAGUCUGUCUCAAACUCCUCCUUAGCCAGCUCCCCAGACUACUGGUGGGCCCUCAGCACCUCCAAACACGAGAGAAAUGGUGCAGUAGAAGUUGACAUGGAGAGAGACAGCAGCCUUAACAUGACUAAAAUGUCUUACUUUUGCAAAACUCAGAAAAACAUGUAUGUGAACACUCUGCUAGGGCCUAUCCUGAGACCUCAGAAAGAGCCUGUGCAAAGGAGGGGCCCUGAAGCUCAAUUUCAUUAGCUUCACAAUAAAUCCACACUUAGUCAUCAAUAAUUAACUGUCAAGCACUGUACUAAGAGAUUUAUAUGUACUGACGUAAUUUUAAUGCCCAUAAGAGACAGCAAUGCAGAAAUAGAGGCCCAGAGAUUUUAAGUAACUUCAUCCCACAGCCAGACAGUGGUGGAAUCACUAUUCAAUAGCAGACAAUCUGACUCUAGGACCCAUUCUCUUAAUUACUAUUUCACAUAGUGGCUCUAGUAUUCAGGAAGAAGGAGAAUAAAGCUUCAAACUGAACAUAAGCUCGAUCAUUUGGCUAUACUUUCUAUUAAAUUCAUGCAAAAUGGUUGCAUCAGUAGUUUAGGUUAGCCUAAACCAAGGCAAUUUGGAUUUGGAUGUUUUAUUAGGAAAUGUAAUCAAUAAAUUAUUCAGCUGCA